GCUAAAGUCUUCUAUCAAGUGGACCUACAAGAUAAUCUAAUCUUAAUAGGCCUCAAAAUAUCGUCUCUGCUACUAUUUCCAUAAAAUUCUUAAAUUCUAGUUCGGCAAUUAAUCGACCUCUCAUUAAACAUAACUAAAUCCCAAUUUCAAAAUACUUAUUGCAAAAGUAUAGCUUAAAACUUUUGAACUCUUCUGCAAACUCAUGCUAUAAUCACAGAUCUAAAAUCCCAUACUUAAUGCAUAAUAAUAUUUAGAGUUAAUGGGCUCAAUUAGCCGUUCUUAUAUAAGAAAAGGAAAAAAUGUCCACCCAAAUAAAAAUAUGGAAAAACUAGCCUUUUCUAACGUAAAUGUACAAUUAUACCCUUAAUACUGUUACACACUUUUUCGCAAAAGUUUGUAAUAACAUAAAGUGUGUAACUGCGAAAAGUGUGUAACAGUGUAUUUUACACUGUUACACACUUUUCACAAAAGUGUGUAAUAAUGUAAAAGUAUGUGGUUGCGAAAAAGUGUGUAACAAUGUAAAAUACACUAUUACACACUUUUUCGUUUCUAAAAAGUGUGUAAUAGUAUAUUUUAUAUUGUUACACACUAAAAGGGUAUUUUAGUCAGAAAUGCUAUUAUUUCCAUAUUUUUAUUUGUAUGACUAGAAUUUCCUAUGACUAAAAGGUUUUGGCUAGACUAGGGUGCUGCCUCUAAUAUUUAUUAUGCAACUUUGAAUAAAUAACCAAGCCAAGGCUCAAAUUAAUCAAAAUAAAAUAAAAUAAAAACUUAAGUCCAAAUCUCUUAGUAUGAGCCCAAGUUUAAUCAAAUAAUUCUCAUGCAUCUGGCCCAAUUUUAAAAAAACUGAAGCCCAAAAAAUGAGGGCCCAAAUCAACCCAUCCCUUCCUCUUUUAAUUCUCUGGAUCGGUCUCUCUCUCUCUAUCCCAGCUCUCACCUUCCAUUCCUCCUUUCUCCCUCUGAAAUCUGCAGCCGCCUCGCCACUUCUCCAUCGCCGGCGACAACAGCGAUGUCGCCGUCGCGCCUCACUUUUCCCCCUCUCCGUUCUCCCCAUCUUGCUUCUCUCUCUCAAAGAGGAAAUCCCUAAAUUCCAAAAUCCCUAAAUCUGCCCCCUCCCAUCUCCUUCUCUCGGUUGGACGGUCAACGGCAAAGGGCCGCCACCACCGCCGACUCCAUCUCCUUCACGCCGACAACAGCAGCAGCCGUCAUCGCCGUCCAGCUACCUCCUUCCUCCGUCCGACCAGAGCAGCACAGCAGCGGCCGAAGCCACCGCACCGCUGCCCCUUCUUUCUUCCGCCAGCCGACGCCCUCCGCCAGCAACAGCGCACGGCGGCGCUAUUCAGCCGCCGCCUUCCGCCUGUUCUAUGCCACAAACUCCCAUCUCCAGUUUCUUCUCCUAUUUUUCCCUUUCUGUGAUAUUAAUAAUAUCUCUGUUCUAUUUGAUUUCCUUAUGAAAAUUACAGAAAAUGGAUGUAUGCAUGUUUUGAUUUGAAAACAGAAUUCUGUUGUAAAGUUUUGGUUUUUUGGCAGAAUUGAGAAACUAUGAAUGAAAUAACUUUGCAAAAAUAAUACUCCCUCGUCCACGAAAUGAGUACCCAUUUGGGGUGGCACGGGUUUUAAGAAAUUGAUUAAAUGUGUGAGUGAAAUAAGGGACCCACUUUUAUUGUGGGUGGGAUGUGUGGGGUACACUUACCAAAAAAGGAAAUGGGUACUCAUUUGGUGGACGGACCAAAAAGGAAAUAUGGGUACUCAUUUCGUGGACGGAGGGAGUAAAAUUUACCGGCUGGGAUUUUGUAGGGAGAAUCUGCAAAUUGAGUGCAGUGGUGUAAGAAGUUAGUCGGUUGCUGGGUUUUUGGAUUGGGGAUGAUAAAAGUGCAGUUUGAAUAGUAUGAAUUGGGUGAAGAGUUAAGCUGCGUCGUGUGUGAUCGAAUGGGCGAGAAUGGGUGAUAGUUAUAGGGGAAACUGGCAGGAAGAAGAAGACGUGGAAGUACCCCUAUCAUGCAUUAAAC
rnacentral:lncRNA from 1 species